GUCACUAAAGCUGUAUAGGGAGAAAAGAACAUUUAAAACAAUUUGAUUAGUGAUUAAAAAAAUUAAAUUGUUAAGCCAAAUGCAAGAAUUUUGAAGUAAUUAAUAAACACAUGUACAUACUUACUUGCCCUUAAAGAAGGCAUAAGGUUUGUAAAAUUCUGCCAACCGCAUUGCAAACUUGAUUUUGCGAUUAAGGUCCAUGUAAACUUGCCUAAAAUACUGGCAACUAAGGAUGUUCACCAAAUACAAUACCUUUACAAAUUAGAAACAUAAAAAAUAAAUUAUAAUAAGAUAUGGGAAUUUAUUAAUAAAUUAUUCUAAAAAAUUUAAAUAAAUAUUUAUUUUUCUAUUACAUAUAAUCAAGUCGUUAUACUAUUAAUUUGAGUCAAAUAGAUCCUUAUAGUUAGAGAGUAACUAACUGCCAUUAAUCAAAGCGUCACACGUUGUUUUAAGCCACAUGAUGCUGACAUGAAAAAUAACAUAUAAUCAUGCCAUCAUAGUAUAUCAAUAUGUUACGUCAGUAUUUGUUAUGAUGCAUGUCUGUGAUGUCAACAUAAUGUAACAUAAAAUUACAUCUAACGUUUAACUAAUGAUAGUUAGUUAACCAUUAGUUCUAAAAUCUUAUUUGGUCCAAAAUAAAAAUUUAAGUGUUUGAUUGAAUACAAAGUAUAAUAAGUUAUUUGAAUUUAUCUAAAUAGUUCAAAGACUCUUUAGAUAAUAUGCCAAAAUAAAAAUUAAGACUGUGACAAACCUUUAAUAGGAACACAUAUUUAAUCCACAUGUAUAGAAAAAUUCCAUUGACCGUGCUCAAGAGUGUUACUUUACGAACUUUAACUCUUUGUCUGUUUCUAUUAAUCCAUGGAUUUCAGUGAAAUAACAAUAUAAAAAUUUUUAGUGAAAAAAUUUUUAGUGAACUUCAACACGUUAUUUUAGUAUGUCAUGUCAUUAACUGUUAUGACAUGUCAGCAUAUUGUGUCAAUACUAUGUGAUAUAAAAAAACAUGUAAUGUUUUAAAUAAUGACAGUUAAUUAACCAUUAGUUCUAUGGACUUAUUUGACCCGAAACAAAAGCAUAACAGUUUGAAUGAAUGCAAUUAGAAAAAAAAUAAUUGAUUUGAAUUUUUUAAAUAGUUCAGAGUCCUUUUAAAUAUUAUGUCAAAAUAAAAAUUAGGAAUGUAACAAACCUUCAAUGGAAACACAUAUUUAGUCCACAUGUAGAGAAAAUAUCCAUUGAUUGUGCUCAACACUGUGAGUUUACGAACUUUAACUCGUUGUCCGUUUCUAUUAGACCAUGGGUUUUCAGUGAAAUAACAGUGUAUAAAUUUGCAAAAAUCCCCGAGUUUUAAAGGAUUUUUCAAUGAGGAGCUAACAUGGUAAAUGGUCUGACAAGAUUGAUUACUUGUGUGAACUGACAUGGCCACGACCAUUGCAUUUACCACCAUGUCUGCAGGUAUCUGCAUAAAUUUUGAAAUUCACGUUUUUCACUUGCAAUUAGACCCAGCUAUAGGAAGAAAAUGGUAUAUGUUAUCCAGAGAUUAAAAAUUCUCACCACAUCGAGGGCAGAGUUAGGAUAGCCAGGAAAACAUGUUAAUUUCCCCUUGCCAUAACUCACAAUGACGCUAUCUAUAGUUCUGUAGUAACACAAAUAUUAAUGAGUCAUUAUUCCAAAUAUACAAUGUUAAUGAAAGCAAUAAAUUGCAUUAAUGAAAUAUAAUAAUAAUCCUAAAUCAAAUACCAUAAAAAUUUGAAGUUACAAUUUGGUCAUGAUAAUUACCUCACACCUUCAAUCCAGCCAGGGAAGGGUUCUUUAUAAGUGCUUGCAAUCAUGGUAGGGCGGAUAAUGACAAAAGGCAAAUCUCCUUUGAAGUUCCCUAAAAGCAUCUCUCCCAUUGCCUUUGUAAACACGUAUGUGUUAGGCCACCCAUACAAUUUUGCCCUGUAUUCAUAAGAAACAAGGUUUACCACUGUUUUCUUUUUACUUUUUUUUUUUAAAUUUAAGAUAUCGUCCAUACAAUUCAAGGUGAAGUGAAAAUGAUGACGGUGAGAGAGAAACCUUUUGAGGCCGAAUUCCUUCAUUUCUGAUUUUAUUACUUCGUUUGGGGCAUGUUGGAAUCGCAAUUCAUCUAAUUUUUCCUCUACAAUUCUCUUCUCUUCAAUAAUGUCUAAUUUACAUGUUUUCAACAAUGUAUCAUCCACGGAAAAUGGUUUUUCUAAUAUAAUUCCUGCUUCUUCACCGCACACGUAGGCUAAAAGAAAAUUAUGAUAAAAAGCAUGAUUGUCAAUCUUAAUUUAUCUCCGAUAUAUGUUCUGAAUGCACUAAAAUUUAACUAUGUAUAUAACAAAUAUCAACCACUAAUUAAUCAAGAACGAUCAAUUAAUUUCAUAUUUACCAGUUGAUGUGUGGAGAAACAGCUUUAUCUUAUCACAUUUCUUCGCAAAGCUCAAAACGUUAAGAGCUCCAAACGUAUUGAUGGCCAAUGCAACAUCAUAGCUUGAAAAAUAAGAGGAAAGAAGAAAAGAAAAGCGGCGAAUUAUAGGCAAAAUUAUGUUCUUAAGACAUACUCCUACAAUUCAAAUAUGAGGAUUCUAAAUUACCUUUCAUUGAAUCCUGUCGUGGCAGCAACAUGUACUACAAUUUCUAUUUCUUUCAACAUUUGUUCCCUUAAUUUUGAUUCAUUCACCCCCAAGUUUUCGGAAGAAAUAUCGCCAGGCACUGCUAUCACCUUGGUUAAUAUAAAGGAAUCAAAUUCCGAACCCCAAUUGUCUCGAAGAAUCGUAAACAAUUCUGUAUCUAUAAUCUACAUAAAAAUUAAGAUGUGUAAGUUUUUUUUUUUUGUGAAUUUGAAAUUGAAUUUUAUAUCACGUGUAACAAAUUGGAUUGAAAUAAAAAUUUUAAUUUCAAAUUUAGUAUGAAUCAUAUGAUAGAACAGUAGUAAUUACGAAUAUGACUUUCAUGAUUAUCGUAAAAUUGUCUGAAUUAUGGAACUUAAAAUUCAUUAUAUACCUCACUAUGCAGGCGUUUUGUGGCAGAUUUAGCAUCUGCAGCCUUCAAAAGAAGAUAGAGCUUAUUCACAUUUGGUUGAAUCCUUAAUAUCUUCUCGACAAAGACUGAAACCGGAGUUCAGAAUUAAAUGAUUAAGUAAAACUAAAAUGAUUAAUUAUAUUGUGUUUUAAAUGAAAUCAUCAUCCUUGGCUUCGUAAGAGAGAGAGAGAGUACUCUUUGCCAAAAAUCCAGUUGCACCAGUGACUAAAAUAGUUUUGCCUUGAAGAAACUUGACAACAUGAUCCAACUCCAUAUUCAUGUCUGAGAACCCAAAAAGAAAUCAAAUAAAAGAAGUAACUUUUUUAUAAUAUUUAUUGGAAUAAAAUUGGGUAAAAUUCAAUAUUUGAUAGAAGAAAAGAUAAGAUAAAUGUAUGCUUCCCAACAUCUAAAUUGCAAUGUUUAAUGAUAAUUUGGAAGUAUUGAAAAUAAUAGUAAUUAAAGUUGAAAAAUAAUAUAACAUGUGGCAUCACCUUGAUUUUGGAAUUUCUUUUCCCCUGUUUUUUUUUUCUCUUGUUCUUUUGCCUGUUCUUCCUCUUCGUCUUUAUGUGAGUUCUAAAAGGUAUUUAUAGGGGAGAACCAGAGCUGUCGAUGGAAGGGGAAAACCCCCAUUUUGGUGCCCUUAGGCCACAGCUUUUGUGCAGUGAAUGAGUUAUGGCAUUGAUAGAGGAGAACCAGAGCUGUUGAUGGUAGUGGAAAACCCCCAUUUUGGUGCCCUUAGGCCAAAGCUAUUGGUGGUCCUAUUUCGUGUAUCAUAUCCCAUCUUAAUUGAAUGUGAAUAUGAUUGUUAACACCUUUAUAAGACUUUAGGUUAAUCACUAUUAGUAAAUUAUGUUUAAACUUUUAAAAAUUAUGUAAUUUAGAUCCGAAAAAUUACUAGACUGGUGAUGUUUGCAUCAGGAUCAUUACACUAUGUGGUUCGGAGUAUGCAUGUUAGAUUACAGCUAACUGAGGGCAGAAGCUGGAAGCAGGAUUAACGACCUAAAUGAGGAAGGCAAAGGAGAGACGUGUCAAGGUCAAGGAUGGAUUAGUAGGAGGGAUACCUUCCAUCUCUGCUCUCCUCAAACACUUAUAUUUGCUUUAAAAUGAUAUGGAAUGUGGACAAAUAAAUAUUUUUUUAGUACAAAAAAAAAAGAAUAGAAGGUAUGUUUGAGAUUUCACUUAAUGACAAUUAAGUGAUUUGGUGUAGCAUUGCUGUAAUGAUCUACAAUAAGGGAUUGAUAAUUUCACACCUAUUGAGGAGAAAUUUAUAUGCUGGUGGAGAAAUUAUCAGUUUGAUUGCUGUUGAUGUUGGGAGGGUUGGAGAGUUUAACUGGUGUUUACAUGGUCUACGGAUGGCCCUUUUGCAAGUUGUACGGAAAUCUUGGUUUUUCCUAACUUGUGGCUUUUGCUGCAACAGUCUUGCUAAUUAAUGCUUGCAAAGCUUCCAUUAGGCAAAUUGCAAUGGAAGCUUCAGGACAAAUUGAUGGAUUCAAAAGGUAAAAAGAAUGAAGGCAACAUCUAAGGUUUUAAAGAAUAUGAGAAUUCUGAAGCUUCAGGGAUGGGAAACGAUGUUCAAUUUGAAUUCAAAAGAAGAAUUUUAAUUUCAUAUUACAAAUUAACAUGAUUUUCAUGAUUAUCAUCAAAUUGUCUGAAUCAUGUUAACGAAGUGCGGAACUUAAAAUUCAUUAUAUAUCUCAGUAUGCAAGCAUUUUGUGAGAGAUUUAAUAUCUGCAGCCCCUACAGAAGACAACUUAUUCACCAUUUGGUUGAAUCCUUAAUUAAUAUUACUCUUUGCCAAAAAUCCAGUUGCACCAGUGAUUAACAUAGUCUUGCCUGGAAGAAACUUGACAACGUUAUCCAACUCUAUAUGCAUGUAUGAGAAUCCAGAAAGAAAUCAAAUUAAAAAAAGUAAUUUAUUUAUUGUAUAUAUUGGAAUAAAAUUGGGUAAAUUUGAAUAAUUUAAUAGAGAAAAGAUCAGAUAUAUAUCCUUCCCAACACUUCACCAAGAAAUUGCAAUGUUUAAUGAUAAUUUGGAAGUAUUGAAAAUAAUAUUAAUUAGUGACUUGAAAAAUAAGAUAACAUGUGGACACCAACUUGAUUUUGGAAUUUCUUUUCCCUUGUUUUUUAUUUUCUUGUUCUUUAACCUGUUUUCCUCAUUUUGCGAAUUUGAGUUUAAGAGGUAUUUAUAGGGGAGAACCUGAGCUGUUGAUGGUUCUUGUCAAAAAUACCUCUCAUACAUAAUGUGCUUUUUUAAAAUAGCUCUCUCUAUAAUUUUAACUAUUUUUAGUCAAGAGAAAUUACUUUUGGACUAAAUUACCUUUAAUGAAACAAACCCAUAUGUUUAGGUCUGCGCCUCAAACUGACUCAUAUCCUUUGAUCUUUCCUCAUCAGACCAUUUAUCUCUGGAGUAUUUCUUACCAGAAAGAAAAACUUUUAAGCAUUUUGAGUAUUUUAGAGUGAUUUUUGAUAUACGUAGAAAACUUUUGAGCGUUUUGAGUAUUUUUAAGCAUUUGGAGUCGUUUUUGAUACAUAAAGAAAAACCUUUGAGCAUUUUAAGCAUUCUUCGACAAGUACGCAUAUUCGUUGAUUAUAUUGUUAAAUAGAAUAUGGUAUAUUAUUUGAAGUUGUUGAUUUUGUUAAAUGAAAUUCAGUAAUUUUGGUGAUUUUUAGGCCUUGGGUAACCGAUAUUUGUGCAUUGCGUGACUAGUUUUUAGGCAUUGCAUUACUAAUUUUUAGGCAUUGCAGGAUUGAUUUUUAAGUAUUAUGUGACUAGUUGAUAUGACAUUACCUAACAGAUUGAUAGACAUUGCGUGACUGGUUAGUAAGGCGUUGCAUAACUAGUUAGGAAGACCUUGUGUGACUUAGGCAUUGCCUAAAAAUCAGUCGCAUAAUACCUAAAAAUCAAUCACACAAUGCCAAAAACCAAUCACGUAAUGCCUGAAUAUUAGAGACGUAAUGAUUAAGGCAUGCAAUGCCUAAAAACUAGUCUUACAAUACCUAAAAGCUAGUAAAGCAAUACCUAAUAACUAAUUGAUUUACUUGCUCGCAGUCAGGUUUAAGUUGCCAAAGUCAUACAGUAUUCUAAUUUUUUUUUUUUAUAAUUGGGGGAGAGGGGAUUCGAACCCUGCUCUUUAAGCAAGGCGAUAAUGCACCAACCAAUGAGCCAAAUGCUCUUGAGUCAUACAAUGUUCUAAUUUAUAGAUAUAUCUAAUCAAUUUCAACCCCCUCAACUAUGGGGUUCUAUGAAUAAAUCAAUAAACCCAAUAACUUAAAACACAUACCUUGAUAUCAUCUCUGCACUUUGGGGUGGCAAGAAAGAGCUGGACGACGAGAUAGACAGUAUUUGCCAAGAGAGAGAAAUCGGGAUUUGAUUUUGAAAUUUUUGUCUGGAUGGUGACAUAAAGAAAACUGAAACCAUUUUAAUUUGUCUGAAAUUAUUUAAAGGGCAUUGUUAUCAAGUCAUGUCAAAAAUUGACUAAAAAUAGUUAAAAUUAUAAUGAAGGAUAUUUUUGAAUUACGUUUAUGAGAAGGAUUAUUUCUCAUAAUUUUCUCUAGUAGAAAACACCCCAUUUUGGUGCCCUUAGGCCACUACUUUUGAGCAAUGAAUGAAGUUAUGGCAACCGAUGGUCCUAUUUCAUGUAAUGGCCUUUCCUUUCUGAAAUUGGGUACUUCAAUCCGAACAUAAAGUUAGGUUUAGUUUCUACCAAAUUUAGGGGCAUGCUAGAGGGAAGCCCCAGCCGAAAGAAUGUGGAGGUGGAUUCCAAUGGGUUUGUUAAGCAGGUGCAGACAUUGCUAUCAGUUUGUCCAGUUUGGCUCUCAGAGUCAAAAAAGGUUGCUCUCUAACAAUCCCUAUCAAGGUCUUAGACUGAACCCCACAAGAAAUAUUUGGUCUUUAAUUACUUGGGGUAAGAAAACAAACAAAAAUUCAGACUAUGAAUUCUUUAUUUUACUUUGAAGCAAAGAUAAAAUGAUGAAGUAUCAACUACACAAAUAAAUGAAGAACUAUCAAAGCAAUAACAUCUGUUAUUGGUCACAACGAAAGUAAUGCAAGUAUUCUCCUUCUUUCCUCAUCCGUUAAGUUGUUCAAAGCUUGAUGCCCACUACUUCGUUUUUUUUUUAAGAUUUGAAGAAGGAGAUUCAAACUUUACUCUUCAAAUAGGAAGAUUAUACAUCAGCUAAUGAAUCAAAUAUUCGUGUGUGCCUUCUAUGUAAAUUUUAUUCAAUUAAUUUUAUUUUUUAAUAAUAAUUAAGAUUUAAUCCAUGUCUUAAGACGCCAGGAAUGUGAAUGUUCAUCAUGUAAUCCUUCCAAUCAAUACUCUUGGAAUCGAAGUCAAAUACACCCAUAUCAAUGCCUCUCCCUUGAGCCACCAUUCGCAACUUGUCUAAAUUUGUGUCACUAAAGCUGUAUAGGGAGAAAAGAACAUUUAAAACAAUUUAAUCAGAGAUUAAAAAAAUUAAAUUGCUAAGCCAAAUGCAAGAAUUUUGAAAUAAUUAAUAAACACAUAUACAUUCUUACUUGCCCUUAAGGAACACAUAAGGUUUGUAAAAUUCUGAGAACCACAUUGCAAACUUGAUUUUGCAAUUAAGGUCCAUGUAAACUUGCCUGAAAUACUGGCAACUAAGGAUGUUCACCAAAUGCAAUACCUUUACAAAUUAGAAACAUAAAAAUAUAUAUAUUAUAAUAAGAAAUGAGAAUUAAUUAAAUAAGAGAAGUUCUUAUAAAAAAUACAAGACAUAAUGUUUUAAGAAACCCUUAAUUAUUCAAUACCCUUAACUUGGCUUCGUAAGAAACGUGACCAAAAUAGUUUUGGCCAUAAUUUCAGGCAGGUUUAUUAAUAUUCAAAAUGAUUAGUUCGCCCCAAAAGAAUAUUUUUCGCUAGACGCUUAAGUCCUAUCAUUAGUCAAUUGCUAAUGUUUCCAGUAUUUGAUGACAUGGCAAUAUUUUAAGGAUAAUUUUACCCUUCAUUAUGUCGUAGCGUGCAAGAAUCGGAACUCGACUGCUACGCUUGCAAAAUUUAGGGAGUCGCCAUCAAAUUAUUUUUUUAUUUAGGUGCGAUUGGCUACAUAUUAAGUUUGUUCUUCUCAACGAAAUCUUAAAUUAAUUUUAGGAUUGCUUAAAGAACAAGACUCGGUCUACGUAUUUCAGAGUUAGAUUCGGAAGCACAAUUAUACACGGGGAAAGAUUAGUAGCCGCAUGACGCCCGUUCUACGAAUAGUACCACUUAAUCAUAUGCUACCCUAUUAACCUUAACUUUUUAUUUUUAUUUUUAUGUUUCCCUAAUCUUUAUUUAUUUAUUUUAUCUUUUAUUUUAUUUACAAAUUAAAACAUUUUUUUCAACCUUACGAGUGAGACAUGCAUAUGAUGCAAUUGUGAAAUACAUGACAUAAAAUCUGGAUAAUGUCAACAAAAACCAUUUAUUGAGUGUACUUUUCAAAUCUGUCCAUCACACUAGUGAGAUUCGGGAGCAUUCUCUCACCUAGAGAAAUAUCCGAAAAACUAGCAUUCGCAAGUUUAACGAGAAAAUCCCAUCAUCGGGUAGUUGUUUGCACGUAAAAACUAUAUUUUAAUAAAUGCAAAUCUUAAUAUGAGCAGAAACUUUUUAUUAAAAAUAUUUUUCGAGCCCUCUCAUCGUACUGGUGGGACUCGAAGGUAUCCUUUCACCUAGAGAAUAGUUGGUUAAAAAUAUUUGUUUACACUAUGUCCAUGAGCACUUUUAUCUUCUAGUUGCCCCAAAUUUGUUUCUGUUUCUAGGUGCGUGUAUGCUUAUAUGGGAAUCCCGUUGCAAUCAAGUAAUAUCUCAUCUGCACUUGCAACAUUCAGGAUGCUUGAGGAGCCCAUUUAUAAUCUUUCCGAUACAAUCUCAAUGACUGUGAUUAGACUAAAAGAUCCCUGAAUAGAAUAUCCUCAUCAUUUCUCAACAUGAUGACCUGCCAGCUGAUGUCAUUCAGAAGCUUCCUAAAGGAAGUACUGACAUAGCAGUUGAUCAGAAGUCCUUCCACCAGUUCCUUGGUUCUUUUGCUCUAUCUUGGCACAUUCGAUACUCUUUUUGUUCUUCAUUCUGGACUUUUCACCUAACCAAAUUCUCUUGUAUUUCAGGAACUUUUCUUGAAGCUUUUGAGUAAAAACAUUUAUAUAUGCUACUCAUCAAAUAGAACUUUAAUUUUACCAAAUGCGAAUCUUAUAUAUCCUAGUGAGUGAUACAUAUAGUUUGAAACAGUAACUCAUCUUUUCUAGGAAAAUAAGAUAUCCCCUACCUCUACAUUCCUUUUAAUGGUAACGAGUUUGUCGUAACAUACGGGUCCGGGAACCCAACCGUCAGACGCGAAUGUGAAAACUCACUAAAAAAUUAAACUAAGAGUCGCCACCAAUCUUUUUUACUAGGUGCGAUUGGCCACCUAUUGACUUGAUUCUAAUCGAUGAAAACAUAAAUUAAUUUUAAGCCCACCGAAAAGAACCUUAAACUGGUCUACGAUUUUCUAGAUCAAGGCUCGGGAGUACGGUUACGCCCGGGAAAAGAUUAGCACCCACGGGACGCCCGUUCCAUGAACGGUUAUCAUUCUUAGAUUAUCCUAUUAGGCUUUAAUUUUUAAAUUAGCUAUAUUUCCUUAGUUAUUGUUCACUUAUUUUUAUCUCCUAUUUGACUUAAAAUGGAAUGCAAAUAUGAGGCAAGAUGCAUGGUGUGAAAAAAAAGCCGAAUGAAUAACUUUUUAUCGAGGAUAUUUUCUCAAAUCCGCCCAUCAUACUGGUGGGACUCGAGGUAUUCUCUCACCUAGGGAAUUAUCUGAGAAAUUCACCUUCGCAAAUUUGACGAAUAAUUCCUAUCAUCGGAGUUAUCGUACGUUUUCUUUAAAAAUAAUGUUUUCGUGCAUAAUGAACCUAAUUCGAGCAAAAGCCUUUUAUUAAAGAUGUCUCUCGAGCCCUCCCAUCAUACUGGUGGGACCCGAGGAUAACUUUUCACUUAGGAAACUUUUCGAGAAAUACUCGCCUUCGCAAGAUCCUCGAAAGAUCCCAUCAUCGGGGCUUAAACUCGAAAAUAGAAAUAUUUAUAUGCAAUGAUAUGUAUGAUGCAAUAUAUAUAUGCUAUGCUAAUGCAAUUAUCUAUAUUUUUUAGUUAUUAUUAAUUAAUUAUUAUUUUUAUUUUAUUAUAUUUUUUGUUAUCAUAUUUUCUAUUCUUAUUUCUUAUUAUUAUUUUUUUAUACUUUACAUUUUUUGUUCUAAGUUCUUAUGUUUUUCAUUUAUAAUUAGACAAAUUGUUUAUAAUUCUAUGUUAUUUUAGUGAACAAAAAUUUUAUAUAUUUUUUUUAUUAUACUAUUUUUAUUUUAUAUAUUUUUAUAUUUUUAUUAUUAUAUUUUUUCAUAAGCAAUCUUUUAUUCAAACCUAAUACCUAAGAUCUUAUUUUUUAUAUAUAUAUAUAUAUAUAUAUUUACAUUUUUUAUAGUUUAUGCCACUUAAUAUUCAAUGCUUAAUUUUACAUUAGUUGUUUUUUAUUAUUUUUUUAUUUUUUUAUUUAUUUAAUGUCAUGUAUAUUGUAUUUUCACAAAUUAAUUAUUUAUUAUAUGUUUGAAUUAUUAUUAUUUUUUAUCAUUUAUUAUUUAUUUAUUAUUUUUAUCAAGUAAUUUUUUUGGUAUAGUCAAACUCUUUAUUUAUUACGAAUUUCGAAAUCUUGAAAUCGAUGCUCUUCCAUCGUACUGGUGGAGCCUUGAUUCGGAUUCCGAACCUAGGGAAUAUCGGCCUAGGAUUACGACUUCUCGUAUCCCGACCGAUUAUCCCAUCAUCGGCAAUGUUUACUUAUCGAAUAACUCAUCACUUUGUCCCAUUCUCAUUCUUUUUCAUUUAUGAAACUAUCUUUUUAAAUACUUUGACAAUUACAUAUUUCAUUCUACUAUAUUUUCUAUUUCUAUUAUUUUAUUAUUUUUUCUUAUCCUUUUCCAUGUACAAUAUCCCUCUAAGACUAUUUACCAUGUUAUUAUUUUUUACUUAAAUGUUCAUUUAUUUUCCUACUCAUUUUUAUUUUUGGAUCUAUUUUUAAAACUAACCCUUCUCUUCCCUUUUUUUUUUACCUAAAUUUUGCUAUUAUCUAUUAUAUAAUUAAAUGUAUAGAUUCUUAUAUUUUUACCUUAUCCCAUUUCUUGUAUAUAAAAUUUUAAUUUCAUUUUUUUAAAAAUAACUAAAAUAAAUAAAUAUAUAAAACAAAAAUAAAGAAAAGACAAAGCAUUCACAAUAGGCAUCAAGGAUUCAAGCCCAAUAAUUGUAGAGCCCAGAACAUACCAAGGUCGGGCUUGGACUAGCCCAAAACUGAACCCACAGAUGCCCACAAUAGCUCCAGAAGCCCACUCCUCCUUCAGCCAAAAUGCACCGUUUAGUGCCUUGCUUCAGCUGCCUCCUACUAGCCAAAACGACGUCGUUUAAUGCUUCAGCCCUAGCUAUUUAAACUUCUUUUCUUUCCUCCCUUUUCAUUUUCCCCUCUCACUUUCUCUCUCUACCACCAGAUCUCUCUCUUUUCUCUCUCUAAAAAUCAAACCUAACUUUAAAAAGAACCCUACUACCGGCGUCAACUUCUCUCUCCAAAACCCUUCGCCGACCGGUCGCCUAGAUCUAUUCUUUCUUUGCCCAACCGAUUCUCUCUCUCUUUGUUCCUAUGCCCACCGUUUGAAUCUCUCUCUCUCUCUCGAUGAUCGAAUCUCAGAUCGAUUACCCUGAAAUGACCGAUCGGUGACAAACGAAAGUCAGCUCUCACUUCCUUCCUCGCCGGUGAUUCAGAUCUAAGAAACCCGAAUCCCUCUCUUUUCUUCACUGCCGUCGUCAGUUUCCUUUCACCGAUGGCACAACAAACCAAGCCUCCUAUCCAGUGACAGCAAAACCCAGACUUAAACGCCCCACAAACAUUACAAAGACCCCAAACUCUCUCUCUCUGACCAGCGACACAACCUAAACCUCAAAAUCCUUUUUUUUUGUAUCUUUUUUUUUUUGUUUUGGAUUCCCCGGUUGCUAGUGAAUAUAGGGUAUUUGUUGUGGCUAGGUAUUUGGGUUGCUAGAAAGUUAGGAUUUUUGAUUUUUUUUGUUGUCUCCCCCCUUUUCGAUUGCUACAGUGCCCCCUCCCCUUUAUACCCGGUUCCUGGGCACUGGGGAGGGGGCACAUUCCACUACCUUGCCAGACGCGAAUUUUUUGCAUCUGGCAGGGUGAGGGAGGUGCCUGGCAGGGUGCGUCCGCACCCUGCCAGUCGUACCUUUCUCCCCCCUUUUUUCAUUUCUUCUUUAUUUUUUAAUUUUUAUUAUUUUUAUUAUAUUUUUUUAAUUCAUUUUUUCGUUUAUGAUUUUAGUGUCUACAACUGCCCCUCUUUGCGCAUUUCGGAAAUUCGAAAUAGUGCAAAGACGUAGACACUGUAUUUGACUAAAUUCUUUAAUUCUCUUACCAAGUUUUUUUUUCUUAAAUGAAUUCCUCAAAAUUGAGGCAAUGCGACUUUUAAAAAUGAACUCUUCAAAACUGAGGCCACGAGACUUUUAAAAUAAACUCCUCAAAACUGAGGCAAUGGGACUUUUAAAAUGAACUCCUCAAAAUUGAGGCAACGAGACUUUGAAAAUGAACUCCUCAAAACUGAGGCAACGCAACCUUUUAAAAUGAACUCCUCAAAAUUGAGGCAACGAGACUUUAAAAUGAAACUUAAAAUUGAGGCAACGAGACUUUAAAAUGAACUCCUCAAAAUUGAGGUAACGAGACUUUAAAAAUGAACUCCUCAAAACUGAGGCAACGAGACUUUAAAAAUGAACUCCUCAAAACUGAGGUAACGCAACCUUUUUUCCUUUUUUGGAAUGGUGAAAAAUAAUCAACUCCUCAUCUGAAGUUCUAUGAUUUUAAAGAUGAAUUUUCCUCUUUUUCAAUUGUUUUAAAAUUGUGGACAUGGCAAUUCAUCUUCAUCAGUUUCCUUUUUUUUUUUGGUGUUUUAAAGCCUUCUCUUUAAUCAAUGGGGGAUGAAUCGAUCACGCUUCUGAUCUCUCAUCUUCCCCAAUUCAUUGCUCAUAACUGUUUUCUUCCUCUAUCAUAUGCAUGGUCCAAUCAUUCUUCACAUUUUUACUAUGCUCCAUUCUAUUGCUAUUUCCAUUUCUUUCUUUCUUUUCUUAGUCUUUUCUCUUUUCUUUUUUUACAUUACCAGACUCCAUUUCAUUCCUUGUCAAUUACGAUCCUUUUUCAAAAUAUUGCAAACAUUUCUUACUUUAUCAUGCUCUUUAUUAAGUAUCAUUCCAAUUUUAUGACAAAUGCAAUGCAAUGUACUCAUAUCUCCUCUCUUGGCAGAAUGGAAAUGAUGGCAUUGUUGGGAGCAGAAAGGCUACUUUUCAUUAGAAAAAAUGGGAGUUUCUACAAUCAAGCAUAAUGACAAGGAACAGGGGAAAAUUGAUUAAUACGAAAGGGAUACAGUUCUUUUUUAUUGACUGUUUCGAUAGAUAUUAACAGUAGUCUUGAAAUUUUAUCCCGAAACAGGCACAUUUGUCAGCUCCCUUAUCUUUUGUAUAAACAUCUCGGAUCAUGAUCUUCACCCUUUCUGUGUUAAGCUUUUGUAGUACUUGGACCUCCUUCGUGUCUAGACCGCCCUUUCGGGUUUUCGCCCUAAACAUAUCUCCCAAAUUCAAGCCGCAUUUUCAGGUUUUCAACUUGAAAAAUUUUUUUUUUAUGCAAAAUAUUUCUUGAGAGCAUCGGCAUUCACCGGGUUGGAAAACUCCCUUCCGUCCAUCUCCGCCAAAAUUAGUGCUCCUCUUGAAAAAGCUUUCUUCACCACAAAUGGUCCUUCCCAAUUCGAUGUCCAUUUCCCGCGAGGAUCAUGCUGGUUCGGGAGAAUUCUUUUCAAUACUAAUUCUCCUUCUCGGAACUGUCGAGGAUGUGCCUUCUUGCCAUAUGCCCUCAUCAUUCUCUUUUAAUAUAACUGCCCAUGGCAAAGUGCCGUCAACCUUUUUUCUUCUAUGAGAUUCAAUUGCUCAUAUCGAGCAUUAACCCAUUCGGCUUCUUUCAAUUGUACUUCUUUAAGGACCCGAAGGGAAGGGAUUUCCACUUCAAUUGGCAAAACUGCUUCUAUCCCAUACACCAAAGAGAACGGUGUAGCUCCCGUGGAAGUUCGGACUGUUGUGCGAUAAGCAUGCAAAGCAAAAGGUAACUUCUCAUGCCAAUCUUUGUAUACAUCUGUCAUCUUUUCAAUUAUCCUUUUGAUGUUCUUGUUGGCUGCUUCUACCGCUUCAUUCAUCUUUGGGCGAUAAGGCGUUGAAUUGUGAUGCUUGAUCUUGAACUUAGCACAAACCUCUUUCAUCAUCGAACCAUUGAGGUUACUAGCGUUAUCCGUGAUGAUCCUUUUCGAGAGACCAUAGUAGCAUAUUAUUUCUUUUUGGAUGAACUUACAUACCACUUUCUGGGUCACACUAGCAUAAGAUGCUACUUCUACCCACUUAGUGAAGUAGUCAAUUGCCACCAGAAUAAACCGAUGCCCAUUUGAUGCCUUCGGGGUUAUCAACCCAAUCACAUCCAUGCCCCACAUUGAGAAUGGCCAUGGUGAUGUCAAUACAUGUAGUGAAUUAGCAUGAGUGUGGAUUCCGUCUGCGUAUAUCUGACACUUGUGACACUUUCGAGCGAAAUCCAUACAAUCCGUUUCCAACAUGAGCUAGUAAUACCCUACUCUCAUGACUUGUCUUGCCAACAUAUGCUCACUUGCAUGUGCCCCACAAAUUCUUUUGUGGACUUCUUCAACUAUUCUCCGAGCUUCGAUUGAAUCCACACAUCUCAAAAGCACUUGAUCUCUACUUCUCUUAUAUAAGAUGUCCCCAUCCAAAACGAAAUUCAUUGCCAACCUUCUAAUGGUUUUCUUGUCAUUUUCUGAGCUUUGUUCCGGAUACUGCUGAAACUUUAGAUAAUGCACAAUAUCAUGGUACCACAGUUUCCCGUCUACUUCUUUCUCUACACUGGAACAGUGUGCAGGGCACUCUCAAAGAUUAAUCAUGAUGGGUUGAAUCUUGACAUCGGUACCAACUUUGAACAUUGCUACUAGCGUAGCUAAUGCAUCAGCCAUUUGGUUCUCCUCUCGAGGCAAAUGGGUGAAGCGAAUCUUAUCAAAAUUUUCAAUCAGCUUUGAAACAUACUUAUGGUACCGGACUAACUUCAAGUCGCGUGUCUCCCAUUCUCCUCGCAACUGAUAAAUGACCAAAGCAGAAUCCCCGUACACUUCCAAAACGUGAAUUUUCCUCUCGAUUCCUGCUUGAAGACCCAUGACACAAGCUUCAUAUUCGACCACAUUAUUGGUACAAUAGAAGUUGAGUUUAGCUAUGACGGGAUAAUGAUCUCCUUCUGGUGACACCAACACGACCCCUAUGCCAUGCCUCAAGGCAUUUGAAGCUCUGUCGAAAAACAUCUUCCAACUCUCUUUCUCUUCUGAUUCUUCCUCAUUUGUUUGACAAAUCGACAUCAGGUCCUCAUCUGGAAACUUAAACUCCAUUGAUUCAUAAUCCUCAUCUACCCUUUCAGCCAGAAAAUCAGCGAUUGCACUUCCUUUGAUAACUUUUUGGGACACAUAUACAAUAUCAUAUUCAGACAACAACACUUGCCAUCUUGCCACUCUUCCUUAUAAGGAUGGUUUCUCGAAGAUGUAUUUAAUAGGAUCCAACUUCGCAAUGAGACAAGUGGUAUGAUAUAGCAUGUACUGCCUGAGUCGAUGCGUCAUCCACGCUAAAGCACUACACAUUUUUUUCAACGAGGAAUACUUGGACUCGUACUUAGUGAACUUUUUACUUAAGUAGUAAAUUGCCCUUUCUUUCUUACCAGUUUCAUCAUGCUGUCCCAACACACAUCCCACGGAUCAUUCAUUUACUGUCAGGUAUAAGAGGAGGGGUCUCCCAGCCACAAGUGGUACCAAUACUAGCGAACUCAACAGAUAUUUUUUAACCUUGUCAAAAGCAACUUGGCACUCCUCAUUCCAUGCCCCAGGAUUAUGUUUGCGAAGGAGUUUGAAGAUCGGGUCACAUUUGAGUGUGAGUUGUGAUAAGAACCGGGCUAUAUAAUUUAAUCUUCUCAAAAAUCCUCUAACUUCUUUUUGAGUUUUGGGAUGAGGCAAAUCACGGAUUGCUUGAACCUUAUCCGGGUCAACUUCUAUUCCUCUUUCACUGACGAUGAAACCUAGUAGCUUUCCUGAAGUGACUCCAAAAGUACACUUUGCUGGAUUUAAUCUAAGCUGAAAUUUUCGUAAUCUCUUGAAUAAUGUUUCAAGAUUGGUCGCAUGGUCCUCUGUUUUGCGAGCUUUUACAAUCAUAUCAUCCAUAUACACCUCAACCUCUUUGUGCAUCAUAUCAUGGAAGAGAGUCACCAUAGCUCGCUGAUAAGUUACCUCGGCAUUUUUCAAACCAAAUGGCAUUACCUUUUAACAAAAGGUCCCCCACAUAGUUAUGAAGGUAGUUUUCUCUCUAUCCUCUGGUGCCAUCUUAAUUUGGUUAUACCCUGAAAAGCCAUCCAUAAAGGAAAACAUGGAAUGGCGAGCAGUAUUGUCAACAAGGGUGUCAAUGUGGGGAAGAGAAAAAUUAUCUUUUGGGCUAGCUCUAUUCAAGUCUCGAUAAUCCACACACAUUCUCACUUUCCCGUCUUUCUUAGGUACUAGGACAAUAUUUGCAACCCAUUCAGGGUACUUAGCUACUUCCAAGAAUCCUGCAUCGAACUGCUUUUUCACCUCUUCUUUAAUUUUCAACAACAUUUCAGGUUUCAUUCUUCUCAACUUUUGCUUAAUCGGUUUGCAUUCGAGUUUCAAAGGCAGUUUAUGGGCUACAAUGUCUGUAUUGAGUCUUGGCAUAUCUUGAUAAGACCAUGCAAACACAUCUACAUAUUCAUGAAGUAGCUUUAUUAGUUUUUCUUUUUCCAUUGACACCAACGUCACACCAAUUCUAACUUCUUUCUUAUUUUCGUCAUUUCUCAAAUUUAUCGUUUCAAGUGUCUCUUUAUGUGGGACAAUUUGUCUCCCCUCCUGUUCUACUAGUCUUAACAAGUCCAGAGUUAAAUCAUAAUCCUCCACGUUUUCUGUAUCGUCAAGUUCACUAACACUUGUACCUUUUUCGAAAUUAACUUCAAAACCAAUGUCAUUAUCAUCUUUGCAUUCAUUAUUUGGAAUCCUGGAAGGUAAAGGGGAUUGAAAUAUGUAGAGCUAUUGUAUAGAUAAACAGUUAAAAUAAAAGGAUGAAAUGACACGAAUGGAAAUGGUUAAUCAUGAGAAGAGAUAUGAGAAAUGUACUACGCAUGUCCAUUUAUUAGAAUGAUAAAUGAUAAAAAAGCCUGAUACAUAAAAUUCCAAUGCUUUUGGGCAUAAGCAUGGAUGUUUAGUUUGCAUUACUUUGAAAUUGAAUCACAAGUGACUAGUAAACUCAUGGUGGUCCAGCUGCUCAACUUUAGAUUCGAUGGCCCGAAGUAUGUAGUAGGAAUCCCAUCCACAUUUCCUGACUGUUCUUCAGCUUCCUCUGUUGCACAUAUUGAUAAAUCAGAAAAGGCUUCCCCUAAAGCUGACACUGAUUCUCGGCUCCCAACGGUGGGUGAUUCAAGAAAGAUGCAACCUCCAAAUCGGAAUGUCUCGUAGAGAUGAGGAUAUAUGUCAUUCCUUGGAUUUCCAACUCAUGCCUCUUAAAGCGAGCCAACCUUUCUUUUCUUCUUUCGGCUAUCAUUUCUUCUCUUUCCUUCUUAGUUGGCUUAUACCUCAGGCCAAACCUUUCUUCAUUUUUGGUAGCACGUAUGGGCCUUCUAAUACCUUGUAGUUCUUUUCCCAAUCCUGCCCCCGCUCGGUAUCCUGUUCCUACUAUCUGACUGACAGCCAUCUUAGUGGUUUUGGAAAGCCUCGAAAUAGGCGGUGUGGUUCCUUCUCCAACAUAUGUGGUGUUAACAAACUCGAAGGAUCGAAAGGAACAUUCAGGCACUUCUUCCGCCGUUUCCACGUAAGGAGUAUCUGUUGGCUUGCUUAUGAGUAAGUCCUCUUCCCCGUUAACACAGACAAUCUUCCCAUCUACGAUGAACUUGACCUUCUGAUGAAGAGAUGAAGGUAUGGCCCUAGCCAUAUGGAUCCAAGGUCUUCCCAACAAAUAAUUGUAUGAAGGAGCGAUAUCCAUAACCUGGAAUUCAAUGGUAAAGGUACACGAGCCAAUUUCUACCGGUAUCUCAAUGUCCCCUACUACUUCUCUCUUUGUUCCGUCGAAGGCUCUCACGAUCAUUUGACUCUUUCGCAUGUAGGACAUGUUGAUGGGUAAACGGGCCAAGGUCCUCAUGGGCAUCACAUUUAAGGACGAUCCGUUGUCAAACAGUACCUUUGCGACGGUACAGCCUUUACACUUGGUAGUGAUAUGCAAGGCUUUGGAAUUUCUUCUACCUCCAGAAGGGAUUUCUUCAUCGCUAAAGGAUAUUAUGUUACCCACCGAAAUGUUUCCAACGAUGUAGUCCAAAUUUUCAACUUAGAUAUCGUGAUCCACAUAUGCUUAGUUCAGAAUCCUCAUCAAAGAGUUCCUAUGUGGUUUCGAGCUGAGAAGCAAAGAUAGUAGUGAAAUACGAGCGGGCAACCUGUUCAAUUGCUCGACCACAUUGUACUCACUAUGUUUGAUAAACUUGAGGAACUCGGCAGCUUCUUUUUCCGUCACCAGUCCUUUUGAGCCAUCUGUCGAUUCCGGAGGUUGCACCUUUUCUUCUCUCGAUCUUUGCUCUUUUUCCUUUCCUUUCUCAUUCUUGAGAUUCUCCAAUGCUUCCGGUGAAUAGCAACGUCCGUUGUGUCCGCACCCUGCCAGUCGUACCUCUCUCCCCCCUUUUUUCAUUUCUUUUUUAUUUUUUAAUUUUUAUUAUUUUUAUUAUAUAUUUUUUUAAUUUAUUUUUUUGUUUAUGAUUUUAGUGUCUACAGAGUUAGCAUUUGAAAAAUGGCAUUCUUGCUAUUAGAUGAAUCGAUCCUGGCAAUCGCUUUCUUAAUAUUUGCUGUCAGAGAAGAUGGAGAGAAUUGGAUCGUGGGGCAGAAGCAACCACUAGUCUGUACAAAUGGAUAGCCAGCUAAAAAGACAAGGUUCACCAUUCAGUUGGGGGUAAAAAAUUCCCCUCCACUUUUUUGAUGAACCAUUCAUUUCUCGAAGGUGUUUAACAAUGAAUAAUUCUUUAUUUUAUUUGAAAGCACAGAUGCUAUCAAGUACACAAAUAGUCACAUAUUGAAAGUAAUGCAAGUAUUCUCCACCUUUCCCUUAUCUGUUAAGCUGUUCAAAGCUUGAUACCCUCUACUUAAAUCUUAUUCAAAGGGUCCUGCAUACAAAUUUAUAAAGAUGUCGGUAAUAGAAUAAUAUUAUUCUUGACAAUAAUUAAGAUUACAUCGCAUGUCUUAAGAGGCCAGGAAUGUGAAUGUUCAUCAUGUAAUCCUCCCAAUCAAUACUCUUGGAAUCGAAGUCAAAUACACCCAUAUCAAUGCCUCUCCCUUGAGCCACCAUUCGCAACUUGUCUAAAUUUGUGUCACUAAAGCUGUAUAGGGAGAAAAGAGCAUUUAAAACAAUUUAAUUAGUGAUUAAAAAUAUUAAAUUGUUAAACCAAAUGCAAGAAUUUUUAAAUAAAUAAUAAACUCAUAUGCAUACUCACAUGCCCUUAAAGAAGGUAUAAGGCUUGUAAAAUUCUGCCAACCGCAUUGCCAACUUGACUUUGCGAUUAAGGUCCAUGUAAACUUGCCUGAAAUACUGGCCACUAAGGGCAUUCACCAAAUACAAUACCUUUACAAAUUCGAAACAUAAAAAUAUAUAUUAUGAUAAGAAAUGAGAAUUAAUUAAAUAAGAGAAGUUCUGAUAAUAAAUACAACACCUAAUGUUUAAAGAAACCUUUAAAUUAUUUAAAAAAAUUUUAAAUAAACUUUUAUUCUUUUAUUACGUUCAAUUAAAUCUUUGUGCUUUUAUUUUAAGUCAAAUAGAUUUUUAUAACUAAUGGUUAAUUAACUGUCAUUAAUCAAAACGUCACAUGUCAUUUGAUGUCAAGCGAUGCUAACGUGGCAUUAAGGUGGAGGGUGAAAAAUAUCACAUGGCCAUUUCAUCAUGUCACUAUCUAUCAUAACAUGUCAGCAUACCAUCUCAACACCACAUGACAUAAAAUGAAAUGAAAUGUUUUGACUAAUUAUAGUUAGUUAACCGUUAGUUUUAUAGACUUAUUUGGCCCAAAACAAAAAUAUAACGGUUUAAAUGAAUGCAAUAAAAAAAUAACAUAUUUGAAUUUGUCUGAGUUGUUCAAACACAUUUUUAGAUAAUAUGUCAAAAUAAAAAUUAAGAUUGUGACAAACCUUCAAUGGGAAGACAUAUUUAAUCCACAUGUACAGAAAAAAUCCAUUGACUGUGCUCAACACUGUUCCUUUACGAACUUUAACUCUUUGUCCAUCUCUAUUAAUCCAUGGCUUUUUAGUGAAAUAAUGAUAUACAAAUUUAUGAAGAUCCCCGAAUUUUAUAGGAUUUUUAAAUGAGGAGCUAACAUGGUAAAUGGCCGGACAAGAUUGAUAAUUCGUGUGAACAACCAUGGCCACAGCCAUUGCAUUUACCACCAUGUCCGCUGGUAUCUGCAUAAAUUUUGAAAUUCACGUGUUUAAUUUCACUUGCAAUUAUACCCAGCUAUAGGAAGAAAAGGGUAUAUGUUACCUAGAGACUAAAAAUACUCACCACAUCGAGGGCAUAGCUAGGAUAGCCAGGAAAACAUGUUAAUUUCCCCUUGCCAUAACUCACAAUGACGCUAUCUAUGGUUCUGUAGUAACGCAAAAAUUAAUGAGUCAUUAUUCCAAAUACACAACGUUAAUGAAAGCAAUAAUUUUUUUAAAAAAAAAAUUAAUGAAUGCGAUAAAUUGCAUUAAUGAAAUAUAAUAAUAAUCCUAAAUCAAAUACCAUAAAAAUUUGAAGUUACAAUUUGGUCGUGAUAAUUACCUCACACCUUCAAUCCAGCCAGGGAAGGGUUCUUUAUAAGUGCUUGCAAUCAUGGUAGGGCGGAUAAUGACAAGAGGCAAAUCUCCUUUGAAGUUCCCUAAAAGCAUCUCUCCCAUUGCCUUUGUAAACACAUAUGUGUUAGGCCACCCAUACAAUUUUGCCCUGUAUUCAUAAGAAACAAGGUUUGUCAUUGUUUUCUUUCUACUUUUUUUUUUUAAUUUAAGAAAUCGUCCAUACUAUUCAAGGUGAAGUGGAAAUAACGACGGUGAGAGAGAAACCUUUUGAGACCGAAUUCCAUCAUUUCUGAUUUUAUUACUUCGUUUGGGGCAUGUUGGAAUCGCAAUUCAUCUAAUUUUUCCUCCACAAUUCUCUUCUCUUCAGUAAUGUCUAAUUUAAAUGUUUUCAACAGUGUGUCAUCCAUGGAAAAUGGUUUCUCUAAUAUGAUUCCUACUUGUUCACCGCACACGUAGGCUAAAAGAAAAUUAUGAUAAAAAGCAUGAUUGUCAAUCUUAAUUCAUCUCCGAUAUAAGUACUGAAUGUACUAAAAUUUAACUAUGUAUAUAGCUAAUUUCAAUUACUAAUCAAUCAAGAACUAUCAAUGUCAUAUUCACCAGUUGAUGUGUGGAGAAACAACUUUAUCGCAUCACAUUUCUUUGCAAAGUUCAAAGCGUUGAAAGCUCCAAACGUAUUGAUGGCCAAUGCAACAUCAUACCUUGAAAAAUAAGAGGAAAGAAGUAAAGAAAAGCGGCAAAUUAUAGGCAAAAUUAUGUUCUUAAGACAUACUCCUACAAUUCAAAUAUGAGGAUUCUAAAUUACCUUUCAUUGAAUCCUGUCAUGGCAGCAACAUGUACUACAAUUUCUAUUUCUUUCAACAUUUGUUCCCUUAAUUUUGAUUCAUUCACCCCCAAGUUUUCGGAAGAGAUAUCGCCAGGCACUGCUAUUACCUUGGUUGAUAUAAAGGAAUCAAAUUCCGAACCCCAAUUGUCUCGAAGAAUCGUAAACAAUUCUGUAUCUAUAAUCUACAUAAAAAUUAAGACGUGUAAGUUUUUUUUUGUGAAUUUGAAAUUGAAUUUUAUAUCAUGUGUAACAAAUUGGAUCAAAAUAAAAAUUUUAAUUUUAAAUUUAGUAUGAAUCAUAUGAUCGAAUAGUAGUAAUUACGAAUAUGACUUUCAUGAUUAUCGUAAAAUUGUCUGAAUUAUGGAACUUAAAAUUCAUUAUAUACCUCACUAUGCAGGCGUUUUGUGGCAGAUUUAGCAUCUGCAGCCCUCAAAAGAAGAUACAGCUUAUUCACAUUUGGUUGAAUCCUUAAUAUCUUCUCGACAAAGACUGAAACCGUAGUUGAGAAUUAAAUCAUUCAGUAAAACUAAAAUGAUUAAUUAUAUUGUCUUAAAUGAAAUCAUCAUCCUUGGCUUUGUAAGAGAGAGAUUACUCUUUGCCAAAAAUCCAGUUGCACCAGUGACUAAAAUAGUUUUGCCUUGAAGAAACUUGACAACAUGAUCCAACUCCAUAUUCAUGUCUGAGAAGCCAAAAAGAAAUCAAAUUAAAGAAGUAAUUUAUUUAUAAUAUUUAUUGGAAUAAAAUUGGCUAAAAUUCAAUAUUUGAUAGAGAAAAGAUAAGAUAAAUAUAUCCUUCCCAACAUGUAAAUUGCAAUGUUUAAUGACAAUUUGGAAGUAUUGAAAAUAAUAUUAAUUAAAGUUGAAAAAUAAUACAACAUGUGACAUCACCUUGAUUUGGGAAUUUCUUUUCCCCUGCUUUUUUUUUCUUGUUCUUUUGCCUGUUCUCCCUCUUCUUCUUUAUGUGAGUUGUAAGAGGCAUUUAUAGGGGAGAACCAGAGCUGUCGAUGGAAGUGGAAAACCCCCAUUUUGGUGCCCUUAGGCCAGAGCUUUUGUGCAAUGAAUGAGUUGUCGCAUUGAUAGGGGAGAACCAGAGCUGUUGAUGGUACUUUCAUUAUUACUAUGAGAAUGAUAUUGCCAUCACAUUGCUGCACACAGUUUCGUAAAUUUGAUUGUGACGUCGAAUAUUAAUUUUUGGCACUGGGACGAAAGUGACUGGAGGAAAGAGGGAGGGGGACCUGCCAUUCGCUGACCAUUUGGCACUGAUUGGAAGAGAUAAUUAAGGCCAACUAGGUUUUUUUUUUUAGUUUAUGAAAUAAAAGUAAAUUCAUUUAUGUGGAAAUAAAUGCAUAAACACGUUUCAGUGGGUGAAUUCAAGCCAAUAAACACAUAAAGCUAUGAAUCUAUAUUGAUCAAACCGUAGUCAUUUUCCAAUUAGAACUCGUUAAACAUAAAACAUUUACCUCUAAAUACCAUUGGCUGAUCAAUUAGGUGAAAAACAAGACUAGUUGAACUGUGUACUAGCUAGUUUUCUUUCAGAGGAAACUGUCCAUAUAUAGUCACAUUUUACCGUUUCAGGCGUUGUUCCAUCAAGUAAAAUCACCAGCUACUAGACGUACCCGGGCAGAGUUAAUCAAUUUUUGUUAGAUAAAUCAAAAACAAAGUGAAAUAAAAGUUUAAAAUUUUUUAAAUUAAUACAUUGCAUUUAAACAACAAUCAAAAGUUUCAUCAUAGAAAAUAAUUUUAUAUGACAUAAAUUGAAAAAGAUAAGAAAGAAAAACUAACAAAAAAGUUGUGCUCGAUGAUACUUUCUAGAUUCAUAAAAUAUAAUGCAUAAAAUAUAUAUAGUUAACUAUGAUAUAUAAAAUUUCACACAAUAAUUAAAUAAUAUAAAUAGAAAGAAAUGUGUUAGUUUACAGUAUUCAAGUUCACAAGAUCAUAACUACGAUAUACACAGUAAAGAAAACUUUACUGUAUCCAAGUUCACAAGAUCAUAAAUCUCUCUUUUAAAUAAUGAAAUGUGUUUCAGUAGUUAAUUACAUAAGAGAGAGUAAAGUAAAAUAAAAGAACAAAAAGAGAAGAGAAAGAGAGGGAAAAAGAGGUGUGAAUAAACUUAAAUUAGGGUAACGUUAAUUAGGAUUUGUAGAGUCAUUUUUUUUUUAAUUGGGAGAGGGGGAUUAGAACCCUGCUCUUUAGGCAGGGGGAUUAUGCACCAAUCAAUGAGCCAGGUGCUAGGAUUUGUAGAGUUAUUUUAUUAUUUAUUAUUUAUAUUAAUUAUUAAAUAAAAAAUUAUUUUGAGGAAUAUUAAAAAUAUAUAAUAAAAAAAUAUUUCAAAAUUUUUGAAGGGGUCACAACUUCCUUAAAUAUACUACUCUCUAAGAUUAUUAAAAAAAUAUAUAAUCAUUACAAAUUUUCAAAAAUUUUCUCAUAACAAUAUCACUCUCUGCCCCUGAACACACCGAUUAACAACAAAUGAUAUUUUGUGAACUAUGAUGUUUACAUAUAUAACUAUGCAUAGCAUUUCUUUAGGGUUAAGAAAAAAUAUUUUAGUAAUUCUACUUUUAAUUCAAACUUACAUAUAUGAUGUUUAUCACUAUUAGCAAAUUACGUUUAAACUUUUAAAAAUUAUGUAAUUUAGAUUCGAAAAAUUACUAGACUAGUGAUGUUUAAAUCAGGAUCGUUGGUUCGGUGUAUGCUUGUUAGAUUACAGCUAACUGAGGGCAGAAGCUGGAAGCAGGAUUAACUACCGCAAAUGAGGAAGGCAAAGGAGAGACAUGUCAAGGUAAAAGAUGGAUUAGUAGGGGGGAUACCUUCCCUCUCUGCUCUCCUCAAACACCUAUAUUUGCUUUAAAAUGAUAUGGAAUGAGGACAAAUAAAUAUUUUUUUUAUACAAAAAAAUAAUAGAAGGUAUGUUUGAGAUUUCGCUUAAUGACAAAUAAGUGAUUUGGUGUAGCAAUGCUGCUAUGAUCUACAAUAAAGGAUUGAUAAUUUCACACAUAUUGAGGAGAAAUUUAUAUGCUGAUGGACAAAUUAUCAGUUUGAUUGCUGUUCAUGUUGGUAGGGUUGGAGAGUUUAACUGGUAUUUACAUGGUCUAUGGAUGGCCCUUUUGCAAGUUGUACGGAAAUCUUGGUUUUUCCUAACUUGUGCCUUUUGUUGCAACAGUCUUGCUAAUUAAUGCUUGCAAAGCUUCCAUUAGGCAAAUUGCAAUGGAAGCUUCAGGACAAAUUGAUGGAUUCAAAAGAUCAAAAGAAUGAAGGCAACAUCUAAGGUUUUAAAGAAUAUGAGAAUUCCGAAGCUUCAGGGAUGGGAAAUGAUGUUCAAUUUGAAAUCGAAAGAAGAAUUUUAAUUUCAUAUUACAAAUUAACAUGAUUUUCAUGAUUAUCAUCAAAUUGUCUGAAUCAUGUUAACGAAAAAUGGAACUUAAAAUUCAUUAUAUAUUUCAGUGUGCAAGCAUUUAAAUUGUGACAGAUUUCAUAUCUGCAGCCCCAACAGCAGACAGAGCUUAUUCACCAUUUGGUUGAAUCCUUAAUAUUAAUCUUUGCCAAAAAUCCAGUUGCACCAGUGACUAACAUAGUCUUGCCUGGAAGAAACUUGACAACGUUAUCCAACUCUAUAUUCAUGUGUGAGAAUCCAAAAAGAAAUCAAAUUAAAAAAAGUAAUUUAUUUAUUGUAUAUAUUGGAAUAAAAUUGGGUUAAUUUGAAUAAUUUAAUAGAGAAAAGAUCAGAUAUAUAUCCUUCCCAACACUUCACCAAGAAAUUGCAGUGUUUAAUGAUUUUGGAAGUAUUGAAAAUAAUAUUAAUUAAUGACUUGAAAAAUAAUAUAACAUGUGGACACCAAGUUGAUUUUGGAAUUUCUUUUCCCAUGGUUUUUUAUUUUCUUGUUCUUUUACGUGUUUUUCCUCAUCUUGUGAAUGUGAGCUUUAAAAGACUUGAAAAGUAAUAUAACAUGUGGACACCAACUUGAUUUUGGAAUUACUUUUCCCUUGUUUUUAUUCUCCUGUUCUUUUACCUGUAUUUCCUCAUCUUGUGAAUUUGAGUUUAAGAGGUAUUUAUAGGGGAGAACCUGAGUUGUUGAUGGUUAUUUUCAAAAAUACCCCUCAUACAUAAUGUGUUUUUGAAAAUAACUUUAUCUAUAAUUUUAACUAUUUCUAGUCAAGAGAAAUUAUUUUUGGAUUAAAUUACUUUUAAUGAAACAAACUCAUAUAUUUAGUCUGCAGUUCAAACUGAUUCAUAUCUUUUGAGCUUUUCUCGUCAGACCAUUCAUUUUUGGAGUAUUUUUUACCAGAAAGAAAAACUUUUAAGCAUUUUAAGCAUUUUAAAGUGAUUUUUGAUAUACAUAGAAAACCUUUGAGCGUUUUGAGCAUUUUUAAGCAUUUGGAGUCAUUUUUGAUACAUAAAGAAAAACCUUUAAGUAUUUUGAGCAUUCUUCGAUAAGUAGGCAUAUUCGUUGAUUAUAUUGUUAAAUAGAAUAUAGUAUAUUAUUUGAUGUUGUUGAUUUUGUUAAAUGGAAUUCAGUAAUUUUGGUGGUUUUUAGGCCUUGGGUAACUGAUUUUUACGCAUUGCGUGACUAGUUUAGAGGCAUUGCAUUACUAAUUUUUAAGCAUUGCGUGAUUGAUUUUUAAGUAUUAUGUGACUAGUUGAUAUGACAUUACGUGACAGGUUGAUAAGCAUUACGUGACUGGUUAGUAAGGUAUUGUAUGACUAGUUAGGAAGGCAUUGUGUGACUUAGGUAUUGCCUAAAAAUCAGUUACGCAAUACCUAAAAACCAAUCACAUAAUUCCAAAAAUCCAAUGACACAAUACCUAAAAACCAGUAAAACAAUACCUAAUAUCUUCUCGACAUUUGGUUGAAUCUUUAAUAUCUUCUCGAAAAAGACUGAAACCUGAGUUGAGAAUUAAAUCAUUAAGUAAAACUAAAAUGAUUAAUUAUAUUGUGUCUUAAAUGAAAUCAUCAUCCUUGGCUUUGUAAGAGAGAGAUUACUCUUUGCCAAAAAUCCAGUUGCACCAGUGACUAAAAUAGUUUUGCCUUGAAGAAACUUGACAACAUGAUCCAACUCCAUAUUCAUGUCUGAGAACCCAAAAAGAUAUCAAAUUAAAGAAGUAAUUUAUUUAUAAUAUUUAUUGGAAUAAAAUUGGCUAAAAUUCAAUAUUUGAUAGAGAAAAGAUAAGAUAAAUAUAUCCUUCCCAACAUGUAAAUUGCAAUGUUUAAUGAUAAUUUGGAAGUAUUGAAAAUAAUAUUAAUUAAAGUCGAAAAAUAAUAUAACAUGCGACAUCACCUUGAUUUUGGAAUUUCUUUUCCCCUGUUUUUUUUUUCUUGUUCUUUUGCCUGUUCUUCCUUUUCGUCUUUAUGUGAGUUCUAAGAGGCAUUUAUAGGGGAGAACCAGAGCUGUCGAUGGAAGUGGAAAACCCCCAUUUUGGUGCCCUUAGGCCACAGCUUUUGUGCAAUGAAUGAGUUAUGGCAUUGAUAGGGGAGAACCAGAGCUGUUGAUGGUAGUGUCGAUGGAAGUGGAAAACCCCCAUUUUGGUGCCCUUAGGCCACAGCUUUUGUGCAAUGAAUGAGUUAUGGCAUUGAUAGGGGAGAACCAGAGCUGUUGAUGGUAGUGGAAAACCCCCAUUUUGGUGCCCUUAGGCCAUAGCUACCGAUGGUCCUAUUUCAUGUGUGAUAUCCCAUCUUAAUUCAAUGUGAAUAUGAUUGUUAACACCUUUAUAAGAGUUUACGUUAAACACUAUUAGUAAAUUGCGUUUAAACUUUUUAAAAAUUAUGUAAAUUAGAUUUGAAAAAUUACUAGACUAGUGAUGUUUAAAUCAGGAUCAUUACACUAUGUGGUUCGGUGUAUGCAUGUUGGAUUACAGCUAACUGAGGGCAGAAGCUGGAAGCAGGAUUAACUACCGCAAAUGAGGAAGGCAAAGGAGAGACAUGUCAAGGUAAAGGAUGGAUUAGUAGGAGGGAUACCUUCCCUCUCUGCUCUCCUCAAACACCUAUAUUUGCUUUAAAAUGAUAUGGAAUGAGGACAAAUAAAUAUUAUUUUUUUGUACAAAAAAAUAAUAGAAGGUAUGUUUGAGAUUUCACUUAAUGACAAUUAAGUGAUUUGGUGUGGCAUUGCUGCAAUGAUCUACAAUAAGGGACUGAUAAUUUCACACAUAGUGAGGAGAAAUUUAUAUGCUGAUGGAGAAAUUAUCAGUUUGAUUGCCGUUGAUGUUGGGAGGGUUGGAGAGUUUAACUGAUAUUUACAUGGUCUAUGGAUGGCCCUUUUGCAAGUUGUACGGAAAUCUUGGUUUUUCCUAACUUGUGGCUUUUGUUGCAACAGUCUUGCUAAUUAAUGCUUGCAAAGCUUCCAUUAGGCAAAUUGCAAUGGAAGUUUCAGGACAAAUUGAUGGAUUCAAAAGAUAAAAAGAAUGAAGGCAACAUCUAUGAUUUUAAAGAAUAUGAGAAUUCUGAAGCUUCAGGGGUGGGAAAUGAUGCUCAAUUUGAAUUCGAAAGAAGAAUUUUAAUUUCAUAUUACAAAUUAACAUGAUUUUCAUGAUUCUCAUCAAAUUGUCUCAAUCAUGUUAACAAAAAAUGGAACUUAAAAUUCAUUUUAUAUCUCAGUAUGCAAGCAUUUGGUGACAGAUUUAAUAGCUGCAGCCCCAACAGAAGACACAGCUUAUCCACCAUUUGGUUGAAUGCUUAAUAUUACUCUUUGCCGAAAAUCCAGUUGCACCAGUGACUAACAUAGUCUAGCCUAGAAGAAACCCUUUUUUUUUUUUAUAAUUGAGGUAGAGGGAAUUCGAACCCUGCGUUUUAGUCAAGAGAAUUAUACAUCAACCAAUGAGUCAAAUGCUCCGAUGCUCUUACCUGAAAGAAACUUGACAAUGUUAUCCAACUCUAUAUUCAUGUAUGAGAAUCUAGAAAGAAAUCAAAUUAAAAAAAGUAAUAUAUCCAUUGUAUAUAUUGGACUAAAUUUGGGUAAAAUUGAAUAAUUUAAUAUAGAAAAGAUAAGAUAUAUAUCCUUCCCAACAUUACACCAAGAAAUUGCAAUGUUUAAUGAUAAUUUGGAAGUAUUGAAAAUAAUAUUAAUUAAUGACUUUAAAAAUAAUAUAACACAUGUGGACACCAACUUGAUUUUGGAAUUUCUUUUCCCUGGUUUUUUAUUUUCUUGUUCUUUUACCUAUUUUUCCUCAUCUUGUGAAUAUGAGUUUUAAAAGACUUGAAAAGUAAUAUAACAUGUCGACACCAACUUGAUUUUGGAAUUUCUUUUCCCUUGUUUUUAUUUUGUUGUUCUUUUAACUGUAUUUCUUCAUCUUGUGAAUCUGAGUUUAAGAGGUAUAUAUAGGAGAGAACCUAAGCUGUUGAUGGUUCUUUUCAAAAAUACCCCUCAUACAUAAUGUGUUUUUAAAAAUAACCCUCUUUAUAAUUUUAAUUAUUUUUAGUCAAAAGAAAUUACUUUGGGAUUAAAUUACUUUUAAUAAAACAAACUCAGAUGUUUAGAUCCGCAUCUCAAACUGCUCAUAUCCUUUGAGCUUUCCUCACCAAACCAUUUAUCUUUGGAGUAUUUCUUUCUAGAAAGAAAAUCUUUUAGGCAUUUUAAGCAUUUUAGAGUGAUUUUUUAUGCUCGUAGAAAACUUUUGAGCGUUUUGAGUAUUUUUAAACAUUUAGAGUCAUUUUUGAUACAUAAAAAAAAAACCUUUGAGUAAUUUGAGAAUUCUUCGACGAGUAGGCAUAUUCGUUGAUCAUAUUGAUAAAUAGAAUAUAAUGUAUUAUUUGAAGUUGUUAAUUUUGUUAAAUGAAAUUUAGUAAUUUUGGUGGUUUUUAAGCCUUGGGUAACCGAUUUUUGCGCAUUGUGUGACUAGUUUUUAGGUAUUGCAUUACUAAUUUUUAGACAUUACGUGAUUGAUUUUUAAGUAUUAUGUGACUAGUUGAUAUGACAUUACGUGACAGGUUGAUAGGUAUUGCGUGACCGGUUAAUAAGACAUUGCAUGACUAGUUAGGAAGGUAUUGUGUGACUUAGGCAUCGCCUAAAAAUCAGUCACGUAAUGCCUAAAAACUAAUCAUAAAAUAUCAAAAACCAAUCACGUAAUGCCAAAAAACCAGAGACGUAAUGAUUAAGGCACGCAAUGCCUAAAAAUCAAUCUCGCAAUACCUAAAAUCCAAUGACACAAUACCUAAAAACUAAUAAAGCAAUACCUAAUAAGUAAUCGAUUUACCUGCUCGUAGUCAGGUUUAAGUUGCCAAAGUUAUACAGCGUUCUAAUUUACAGAUAUAUCUAAUUAAUUCCAACCCCCUCAACUAUGGGGUUCGAUGAAUAAAUCAAUAAACCCAAGAACCUAAAACAUAUACCUCGAUGUCAUCUUUGCACUUUGGGGUGGCAAGAAAGAGCUGGACGACAAGAUAGAUAGUAUUUGCCAAGAGAGAGAAAUCGAGAUUUGAUUUUGAAAUUUUUGUCUGGAUUGUGGAAUAGAGAAAAUCGAAACCAUUUUAUUUUGUCUAAAAUUUUUUAAAGUGCAUUAUUAUCAAGUCAUGUCAAAAAUUAACUAAAAAUAGUUAAAAUUAUAAUGAAAGAUAUUUUUAAAUUGGAUUUAUGAAAAGGAUUAUUUCUCAGAAUUUUCUCUAGUAGAAAACACCCCAUUUUGGUGCCCUUAGGCCAUUGCUUUUGAGCAAUGAAUGAAGUUAUGGCAACCGAUGGUCCUAUUUCAUGUAAUGGCCUUUCCUUUCUGAAAUUGGGUAUUUUAAUCCGAACAUAAAGUUAGGUUUAAUUUCUACCAAAUUUAGGGGCACGCUAGAGGGAAGCCCCAGCCAACAGAAUGUGGAGGUGGAUUCCAAUGGGUUUGUUAAGCAAGUGCCGACAUUGCUAUCAGUUUGUCUAGUUUGGCUCUCAGAGUCAAAAAAGGUUACUCUCUAACAAUCCCUAUCACGGUCAUAGACUGAACCCCACAAGAAAAUAUUUGGUCUUUAAUUAUUGGUGUAAGAAAACAAACAAAAAUUCAGACUAUGAAUUCUUCAUUUUACUUUGAAGCAAAGAUAAAAUGACGAAGCAUCAUGUACACAAAUAAAUAAAGAACUAUCAAGGCAAUAACAUCUGUCAUUGGUCACAAUGAAAGUAAUGUAAGUAUUCUGCAUCUUUCCUCACCUGUUAAGCUGUUCAAAGCUUGAUACCCACUAAUUUUUUUUUUUUUUAGAUUUAGGGAAGGAGAUUCGAACUUUACUCUUUAAGUGAGGAGAUCAUACACUAACUAACGAAUCAAAUGCUCGUAUGCGUCCUCUACUUAAAUUUUAUUCAAUUACUUUUAUUUUUUAAAAAUAAUUAGACUUAAUCGCAUGUCUUAAGAGGCCAGGAAUGUGAAUGUUCAUCAUGUAAUCUUCCCAAUCAAUACUCUUAGAAUCGAAGUCAAAUACACCCAUAUCAACGCCUCUCCCUUGAGCCACCAUUUGCAACUUGUCUAAAUUUGAGUCACUAAAGCUGCAUAGGUAGAUAAGAACAUUUAAAGCAACGUAAUUGGUGAUUAGAAAAAUUAAAUUGUUAUGCCAAAUGCAAGAAUUUUGAAAUAAAUAAUAAACACAUAUGCAUACUCACAUGCCCUUAAAGAAGGCAUAAGGUUUGUAAACUUCUGCAAACCGCAUUACCAAUUUGAUUUUGCGAUUAAGGUCCAUGUAAACUUGCCUGAAAUAUUGGCAAUUGAGGAUGUUCACCAAAUACAAUACCUUUACAAAUUCGAAACAUAAAAAAUAUAUACUAUGAUAAGAAAUGAGAAUUAAUUAAAUAAGAAAUGCUUUGACACAUCUAUAUAUAUAUAUUCAACUUUCUUAAUUAUUAGCCCUAAAUAUUAUUUUCCUUUUUAUUCUAUUUUCUUCUAUACCUAUUUUUUUUAUCAUUAAAUAUUUACCUUUUAUAUUUUAAUUCAUUAUUGUUAUGAUUUUAUAACUAAAUAUUUAUUUACUUUAUAUGAAUAUUUUUUCAUCUACCUAAAUAAAUUUUCCUUACAACUAGAUAUUUAUCUAUUUUUUUAUUUACAGCUUUCUAUUUAUUAUUAUUUUACCCCUAUUUCUCUACUCUAAAACCUCUUAUAAUUUUUUUAUAAUAUUUUUCCAUCCUAUUUAAAUUAAUCACAUGUUUAUAACAACAAAUUUCAAGCUAAAUAAAAUAAGCCAGCCCAACAAACUUAACCCAAGCAGAUUUAUAAAUGGGUCAAAGAAAAGGUUAUACCUUUCUUGGGCUAGAAUUGGCCCAAGAUAGUCGGCGAAGGAGAAAACAAGUCUGCUGCACCAGCUAACUAGAUCCCUUUCAAAACGCACCGUUUGGUGCUUUAAAGGCCCCUUCAAACAACGCCGUUUAGGCUCAAACUCACUCUCCCUUCCCUUCCCCAAAACAACGCCGUUUAAUAAUAACCAAACCUAAGUAUAAAAAACCUCUUUUCUCCUUUUCUCUCAUUUGCCCUUUUCACUUUCUCUCUCUAGUCAUCGACACGUUCUACCUUCUCUCUAAAACAAAACCCCUUCCCCUUUUCUUUCAAAUCCGAAAUCCAAACCUACCUCUCUCUUCACUUUCCUAGCCGGCUGCUCUUCCUUCUCUCUCCCUUACAACCACCAAUCGAAAGCCCCAAACCCCGUGACUAUCUCGAAAGAGAAGAAAGAAAAGCAAACCAGUCCCUCUUAGUUUCGAAAUUUUUUAAGGCUUUUUCUUUGGAUUUCUUGGUUGUGGUUUUUUUAUUUUUUCUUUCUUUUUGUGGUAGUGUAUAUGGCUAAGUAUUUUGGUUGGUAACAUAAAGUUAGCGCUUUUUCAUUCUAGGGAUUUUUCUUUUUUUUGCAUCUCUUGAUUGUGGCUGUUGGUUGUUGGUAGAAACCUAGGAUUUUUUGUUUUGAUUUUAGGGUUUUCAAUCUCUCAAUAAAAUCUGCCCCUUUUUAGCUUUUUUUCAAUCCGGCUUUCCUCCCUUAACCAAAAUUUUGAAGAUGAUGGCCUCGAAAAGGUGAGCAUGAUUUCACAGAUAAUGGCUUAUGGAGGUGACCCAAAUCUGACUCCCAAUGGGCAUUGAAUGCUCUGUGCAAGCGUGUUUUCUGAAAUGUUGACUAUGGAGGUCAUGUAUUUCAGUUUUUUUUAUUAUAAUUUAUUUUAUUUUAUUUAUUAUUUAUUAUUAUCUUUUGUUUGAAAGAAAAAAAAAAGUCUAACAUUAAUGAAGUACGAAACUUAAAAUAUUAGAUACCUCACUACAAAAAUAUUUUUAUCUUGAAGAAACUUGACAACAUUAUCUAAUGCAAGAGUGUCUAAUAUUGUAUUUUAUUUAAUUUAAUUUUUAUUAAUUUUAGUUGAUUUAAGAGUAUAUUAUUAGAUUAUUAUUAUUUAAGAAUUAUAGAUAUAAUAAAAAAAAAAAUUUUACUUGUACGAGGACUUUAAGUUAAUGAUGUUUUAUUUAAAAAUAGAAUACUUAUUUUGUUCAAAUUUCUUGUUAACUAUUUUAAUUGUAUUAGAUAAUUAAGAGUAGAGUUUUAUUAAGAUGUGGGCUUAUAAUACUAUAAAUAACAUUUUUAAGUUUAGUUAUGAGACAUUUAAAUUGAGAGUUAAUAAAUAAUAUUUUUUGAAAUAGGAGUGUUUAUUUUUUUGGGUUUUUUUUAAAGAGUAAAAGGUUUUAGUAUCUUUAGUUUAACCAACCAAAGUGAGAUUUUGGUUAUUUUUUCACUUUAGUAUGGUUUUUAAUCUUGUCAAAAUUGGUGAUUCACUUUAGCGAGGUUUUUAACCUCAUCACGAUUGGUGUCUUUCAUAACAUCCAGAUGUUUUUACAACGCAUAAGUAAUUUAUCUAUAGUAUAUAUUGAAAUAAAAUUGGGUACAAUCCAACAAUUUAAUAGAGAAAGAUAAGAAAGCAAUGUUUAAUCAUAAUUUGGAAGUAUUGAAAUAAAAUUAUUAAAGUUGAAUAAUAAUCUAACAUGUGGUCAUCACCUACCUUGAUUUUGGAAUUUCUUUUCCCUUUUUCCCAUUGAUUUUUCCGUGUUCCUUUAGUUGUUCAUUCUCCUAUUCUCUAUGUGAGUUUUAAGAGGUAUAAAUAGGGAUAAGAAAAGUUGUGUGUUGUAGUGGAAAACCCCUUAAUUUUGGUACCCCUAAGCCACUGCUUUUGAGCAAUGAAUGAAGUAAUUAUGGCAACCAUGGUCCUAAUUUCAAGUGUGAAAUCACAUCUUAUGUUGAAUGUGAAUAUAAUUAUUAACAUUUUAAUAAAAAUUUAAGUUAAUCACUACUUAAUGGAGUUUAAACUUUUGAAAAUUACAUGAUUUAGAUUUGAAAAAUUGUUCGACCAAUAAUAUUUAAAUCAAGAUCGUUACUCCAUGUGAUUUGGUUCAUACACAUUGAUAGUAGCCAAUUGACGCGAGAAGCUGAAAGUAGGUUAAUUACCACAAAUGACGAAAGUAAAAGAGAGUUUUUUUUUUUUUUGUUUGAAAAGCAUGUAAAGGUAAAGGAUGGAUUAAUAGUAGGGAUGCCUUCCCUCAUAAACCUACCUUUUCUUUUCUUUUUAUGUAAAAAAAAAAAUAGAAGGUGCGUAUGAGAUUUCCACCCUUUAACCAGACAAAAAAGUGAAAAUUCCUUAAAUUCUUUUCCUUUCUCUUCGUAAGUUAACUAAAUAAGGUAAUUUUAUUAUUAUGUCAAAAAUGAAUCUUUUCAUAGUUCGAAUUUUAUUCACAACUGUUAUAGUUUGAGGACUUGUUUUAAGGUAAAAUAUACAUACUGCUAUGAGUUUUGGCCAUAAUUUCUUGCAAGUUUAUUAAUAUUCGAAAUGAAUAGUCCGUUCCAAAAGAAUAUCUUGCGCUGGACGCAUAAGUCCUAUCAUUAGUUAAUCGUUAAUGUUUUUGGUAUUUGAUCACGUGGUAAUAUUUUUAGGAUAAUUUUACCUUUCAUUAUGUCGUAAUGUGCGGGAAUGAGAACCUGACGCUUGGCCUGAAAAAUUUAGAGAGUCGCGCGAAAUUUUUUUUUUUUAUCUAGGUGCGAUUCGCCACCUAUUAAAAUUGUUCUUCUCAACAAAGUCUUAAAUUAAUUUUAGGAUUGCUUAAAGAACAAGACUUAGUCUAUGUAUUUCAGAGUUGGAUUCGGAAGUACAGUUACACAUGGGGAAAGAUUAGCAAUCUCAUGAUGCCCGUUCUACAAAUAGUACCACUUUAUCAUAUAUUAUCCUAUUAACCUUAACUUUUUACUUUUAUUUUUAUAUUUCCCUAAUCCUUAUUUAUUUAUUUUAUUUACAAAUUAAAAAUUUUUUUUUUCAACCUUACGGGGUGAGACGUGCAUAUGAUGCAAUUGUAAAAUGCAUGGCAUAAAAUCUAGAUAAUGUCAACGAAAACCAUUUAUUGAGUGUACUUCUUGAAUCCACCCAUCACACUAGUGAGAUCUAAAGGUAUUCUCUCACCUAGAGAAAUACAUGAAAAACUCGCAUUCGCAAGUUUAAUGAGUAAAUCUCAUCAUCAAAGUAGUCGUUUGUAUGUAAAAACUAUAUUUUAAUAAAUGCAAAUCUUAAUACAAGUAGAAACUUUUUAUUAAGGAUAUUCUUCGAGUCUUUUCAUUGUACUAGUGGGACUCAAAGGUAUCCUUUCACCUAAAAAAUAAUUGGUUAAAAAUGUUUGUUUACACUAUGUCCAUGAGCACUUUUAUCUUCUGGUUCCCCCAAAUUUGUUUCUGUUUCCAGGCGCGUGUAUGCUUAUAUGGGAAUCCCAUUGCAAUCAAGUAAUAUCUCAUCUGCACUUGCAACAUUCAGGAUGCUUGAGGAGCCCAUUUACAAUCUUCCCGAUACAAUCUCAACGACUGUGAUUAGACUAAAGGAUCCCUGAAUAGAAUAUCCUAAUCAUUUCUCAACAUGAUGACCUGCCAGCUGAUGUCAUUCAGAAGCUUCCUAAAGGAAGUACUGUCAUAGCAGUUGAUCAGAAGUCCUUCCACCAGUUCCUUGGUUCUCUUGCUCUAUCUUGGCACAUUCGGUACUCUUUUUGUUCUUCAUUCCGGACUUUUCACCUAAUCAAAUUCCCUUGUAUUCCAGGAAUUUUUCUUGAAGCUUUUGAGUGAAAACAUUUAUAUAUGCUACUCAUCAAAUAGAACUUUAAUUUUACCAAAUGCGAAUCUUAUAUAUCCUGGUGAGUGAUUCAUAUAGUUUGAAACAGUAACUCAUCUUUCCUAGGAAAAUAAGGUAUCCCCUAUCUCUACAUUCCUUUUAAUGGUAACGAGUUAGCAGUUGAAAAAUGGCAUUCAUGCUAUCAGAUGAAUCGAUCCUGGCAAUUGCUUUCUUAAUAUUUGCUGUCAGAGAAGAUGGAGAGAAUCGGAUUGUGGGGCAGAAGCAACUACUAGUCUGUGCAAACGGAUAGCCAGCAAAAAAGACAAUGUUCACCAUUCAGCGGGAGGUAAAAAAUUCCCCUCCACCUUUUUGAUGAACCAUUAAUUUCUCGAAGGUGUUUAACAAUGAAUGAUUCUUUAUUUUAUUUGAAAGCAAAGAUGCUAUCAAGUACACAAAUAGUCACAUAUUGAAAGUAAUGCAAGUAUUCUCCAUCUUUCCCUCAUCUUUUAAGCUGUUCAAAGCUUGAUACCCUCUACUUAAAUCUUAUUCAAAGGGUCGUGCAUACAAAUUCAUUCAAAGGGUAAUAGAUAAGUUUUUUUUUUACAAUAAUUAAGAUUUAACCGCAUGUCUUAAGAGGCCAGGAAUGUGAAUGUUGAUCAUGUAAUCCUCCCAAUCAAUACUCUUGGAAUCGAAGUCAAAUACACCCAUAUCAAUGCCUCUCUCUUGAGCCACCAUUCGCAACUUGUCUAAAUUUUUGUCACUAAAGCUGUAUAAGGAGACAAGAGCAUUUAAAACAAUUUAAUUAGUGAUUAAAAAUAUUAAAUUGUUAAGCCAAAAGCAAAAAUUUUGAAAUAAAUAAUAAACACAUAUGCAUACUCACAUGCCCUUAAAGAAGGCAUAAGGUUUGUAAAAUUCUGCCAACCGCAUUGCAAACUUGAUUUUGCGAUUAAGGUCCAUGUACACUUGCCUGAAAUCCUGGCAACAAAGGAUGUUCACCAAGUGCAAUACCUUUACAAAUUACAAACAUAAAAAAUAUAUAUUAUAAUAAGAAAUGAGAAUUAAUUAAAUAAGAGGAGUACUUAUAAAAAAAUACAAGACAUAAUGUUUUAAGAAACCCUUAAACUAUUGAAAAAAAUUUAAAUAAAUUUUUAUUUUUCUAUUGCGUACAAUUAAGUCUCUAUACUUUUAUUUUGAAUCAAAUAGAUCUUUAUAACUAAUGGUUAAUUGAGGUGGAGAGUAAAAAAUACCACGUGACUAUGCCAUCAUGUCAUAUUAGUAUGUCAUGUUAUUAUCUGUUAUGACAUGUUAGCAUUCUAUAUCAACAUUACGUGAUAUAAAAUGACAUGUAAUGUUUUAACUAAUGACAAUUAAUUAAUUAUUAAUUUUAUGAACUUAUUUAACCCGAAACAAAAGCAUAACAGUUUGAAUGAAUGCAAUAAAAACAUAAAAAUUGAUUUAAUUUUUUCUAAAUAGUUCAGAGUCCUUUUAGAUAUUAUGUCAAAAUAAAAAUUAAGACUGUAACAA
rnacentral:lncRNA from 1 species